AUUGAACGCUGGCGGCAUGCCCUACACAUGCAAGUCGAACGGCAGCACGGGUGCUUGCACCUGGUGGCGAGUGGCGAACGGGUGAGUAAUAUAUCGGAACGUACCUUAUCGUGGGGGAUAACGCAGCGAAAGCUGUGCUAAUACCGCAUAAGCCCUAAGGGGGAAAGCAGGGGACCGUAAGGCCUUGCGCGAUUAGAGCGGCCGAUACCUGAUUAGCUAGUUGGUGAGGUAAAGGCUCACCAAGGCAACGAUCAGUAGCUGGUCUGAGAGGACGAUCAGCCACACUGGGACUGAGACACGGCCCAGACUCCUACGGGAGGCAGCAGUGGGGAAUUUUGGACAAUGGGGGCAACCCUGAUCCAGCAAUGCCGCGUGAGUGAAGAAGGCCUUCGGGUUGUAAAGCUCUUUUGUCAGGGAAGAAACAGCAGCUCUAAUACAGUAUGCGAAUGACGGUACCUGAAGAAUAAGCACCGGCUAACUACGUGCCAGCAGCCGCCGCAGUAA
rnacentral:rRNA from 1 species